rnacentral:rRNA from 1 species
UACGUAGGGGGCUAGCGUUGUUCGGAAUUACUGGGCGUAAAGGGCGCGUAGGCGGCCGUUUGCGUCGGAUGUGAAAGCCCGGGGCUCAACCCCGGAACGGCAUCCGAUACGGGACGGCUGGAGACCGGGAGAGGAGGGUGGAAUAGCCAGUGUAGAGGUGAAAUUCGUAGAUAUUGGCUGGAACACCGGUGGCGAAAGCGGCUCUCUGGCCCGGUUCUGACGCUGAGGCGCGAAAGCGUGGGGAGCAAACAGG